rnacentral:rRNA from 1 species
CACGUAGGGUGCGAGCGUUUGUCCGGAAUUAUUGGGCGUAAAAGAGCUCGUAGGCGGUGUGUCGCGUCGGCCGUGAAAACCUGCAGCUUAACUGUGGGCGUGCGGUCGAUACGGGCAUCACUGGAGUUUCGGCAGGGGAGACUGGAAUUCCUGGUGUAGCGGUGAAAUGCGCAGAUAUCAGGAGGAAACACCGGUGGCGAAGGCGGGUCUCUGGGCCGAAAACUGACGCUGAGGAGCGAAAAGCGUGGGGGAGCAAAACAGGG